AGAGUUUGAUCAUGGCUCAGGAUGAACGCUGGCGGCGUGCUUAACACAUGCAAGUCGAACGAACCUUCGGGUUAGUGGCGGACGGGCGAGUAACGCGUGAGAAUCUGCCCUCAGGAGGGGGAUAACAGCUGGAAACGGCUGCUAAUACCCCAUAUGCCGCGAGGUGAAAUGAAUUUCGCCUGAGGAUGAGCUCGCGUCUGAUUAGCUAGUUGGUGUAGGUAAAGGCUCACCAAGGCAUCGAUCAGUAGCUGGUCUGAGAGGAUGAUCAGCCACACUGGGACUGAGACACGGCCCAGACUCCUACGGGAGGCAGCAGUGGGGAAUUUUCCGCAAUGGGCGAAAGCCUGACGGAGCAACGCCGCGUGAGGGAUGAAGGCCUCUGGGCUGUAAACCUCUUUUAUCAAGGAAGAAGAUCUGACGGUACUUGAUGAAUAAGCCACGGCUAAUUCCGUGCCAGCAGCCGCGGUAAUACGGGAGUGGCAAGCGUUAUCCGGAAUUAUUGGGCGUAAAGCGUCCGCAGGCGGCCCAGAAAGUCUGCUGUUAAAACGUGGAGCUUAACUCCAUCAUGGCAGUG
rnacentral:rRNA from 1 species